rnacentral:tRNA from 1 species
CCCGGUAUAGCUCAGUUGGUUAGAGCGCAUUCCUGAUAAGAAUGAGGCCCAGGGUUCAAUUCCCUGUACCGGCAC